AAAACAUCUUGAUUUGAAUUCAACUGGUUUGAAGAGACACAUUUUCUCUCUUGUCAAAAAAUGGAACUACCUUUGCCUUGAUAUCAAGUCUGGUGCUUUCCACUUCAUUAAAGUACCAUGUAUUGCAUCUGAGUAUAAAUAUUCUAGCUUUCGUUUCCCACAACUUCUUGUUUCCAACUAUGUUGUGACAAUAUGUAUUCAACUCUUUGUAUUGGUGCAAACUGGAAUAUAAUCGUGGGCAAAGAAAACUAAAAUUUUCCAUUAUCAUGAAUCCCCUUUUACUUUCCUUUCUAAUCCAUCCUCAUCCCCAUGGUAAAAUCGAUUCCAUGUUUCUUAUAAUUUAGAUUGUUCAGGUUCUUUAUUAGGCUGGCGAAUCAGGUUCAAUUUUGGGGUUAAUCGGUAUCUAAAAGCUCUUUUCCUAAUGUGAAAUUGGGUUCAUGGUUUUUCCAUUCGUUUGUGUGUUAUUUGUUGUAGACGGAAGUCCCAGCAGUUGAGUUGUCGAUUACCUCUUCCAAGCUGCCAACAACCUCCUCCUAAUGAAAAAUUCUAUGUUUACCCACCCACUUGAUGUUAGAUUGAAAAGAAAGUUUCAGCUGCACACCAACUGCUUGAUGAAAUGCUUGAACCAUAUUUCUGAAGUUUCAUUUUGGCUGCUUUACUGUUUAACAACAGGUUGUUGUUUGAUUUCAAGGGUUGUCCAUCAAAUCAUGCAAGUCGCUUAAAUUCAAGAUUGAAAGCUCUUAAACACAACUUUGGUAGCUAUCAUCUCCUGUGAUCCAGAUAUAAUGAAGGAUUAGGCUAACAUCUCAGGUCAUAAAUGUACUCUCAGCAAUAAACCCAAUUUAAAUGAAGAAUCCUAUGUUUCUAAUCAAACGGAAAUUGGAUUCAAGAACCUGAAUGAAUAGAACUCAAGUAACAGAAAAGAUGCAUCUUCAAAAGGCAAAGCUAAUGCAUUUUCACUACUUGGAAAAUGUUUUAAUUAGGUAAAUUAGUUUUCAUUAUUUUCAAGUACAUUUCUUUCUGGGUCUUUUUUUCAUUAACAUCUUCUUUAUUUUCAGUUUUUUUAUUUGAAUUAUCUUGAGAUUCUACCACUUAUAAAAGUUUUUUCUUAAACUUCUUAAACAUUACUGACAUUGCCUAUAUUUUCACUACUUGUAUGUUGUUGUAAAAUGCAAGUCGUUAAGGGUGUAAAGCUUUUGAGUGCACAUAGUAUUUUGAAUAAUCAUGAGUGUCAUUACCUUGAAGUUAAUGAAAACAAUUCACCUUUUGAAAGAACCUUCUUCUAUUUGUCAAGUGUCGGGUCAUGGCAGGAAUUCGGGAGACAGAAAGAGCAUCAACAAACAAAAGAACAAACACCUACCAUUGUUUCAUUCUGAGAGGUGGAAGUGCAUCAAUAAAAGACAUGGUAUCUAGUAAACAACCCUACUAAUGAAUAAUUAUUAUCAUUAUAAUUACUCAGUUUUAAAUGUAUUUAGAUUUAUUUUUCAAGAAAAAAGUUAUCCAAUUGUAGCAAAUGGCAUCCAAAUACCACUCUACUAGAGAUAUAAUUGGGUAACUUUUUCAAAGUAGAAACAAUCAAAUGACUUUCUAGAAAAAGAUGGAAAGCAAUAAACAUAAUCGAAAGUAUGAUAUAAGAAAUAAAUAAAAGUAGGUUGUAAUUAUAUUUACCAUCAUGGAUUCAUUGGUAGAAACGGUAGUGGGAAGUCUAAGAUGAUGAACUAAAAUUUUUAAAUAUAAAACAGUUGCAAAAUUAAUCUUGUUUUUGUAGUUGAAUAUGGAGGAUUAGGUUUAGGUUAUUUGUAUCACUGCAUAGCUUUGGAGGAGAUUAGUUGUGCUUCAUGAUCAGUUAGAAGAACCUUUGGUGCCCAUUCUAAUCUUUGUAUUGAUCAAUUGGUGAGAAACGGAAGUGCUGCACAAAAGGAGAAAUAUUUACCCAAGUUAAUUAGUGGGGAUCAUGUUGGAGCUCUUGCAAUGAGUGAACCUAAUGUUGGUUCAGAUGUUGUUGGAAUGAAAUGUAAUGCUGAACGUGUUGACGGUGGUUAUGUUUUAAAUGGGAAUAAAAUGUGGUUCACCAAUGGCCCAACUGCUCAAACUUUAGUAAUAUGAUCUUAACUUUUAAAAUAAAAUAUCUUGAAAUUUGAAUAUAUUUUAAAGAUAUUGACUUUGUCAAAAUUAGGUGGUUUGUGCUAAAACAGAUGUAGCUGCUCGUUCAAAAUAAGUCCAGGCAAAGCUCGAGAAAGAAAGCCUGCGAGAGUUGUCUUAAUUUCAGCAGACCGGACGUCUGCCAAUACAAUUAUCCGUGGAUACUCCUUCCCAUUAACCUUAGUUGGGUGGGAGGCAUCCGUGUGUAGAAGGACAUUUAUGCUAACAUUGAGUUGUCUCAAACAAUACUAUGCCAUUUGUUUUUUUCUAAUUUAUGGAAUUAUUAUUUUUGGAGGUCUCCUUGCACCUACAUUGGAGCUGAAAUUGGGAAUAGGAGGGACAUCAUAUGCAGUUUUCAUUUCUAGCAUGCAUCUUCCUAUGCAGUUGAGCUUUGAUGGUGGUUGAAAUAAACAAUGUAAAACAAUAGGAGCAUAAAAGAUGUUCUCUUGGUUGUUGGUGACUGCAUGUUAGUUGGCUUACAGCCGAUUUUUGUGUACGUGUCCAAGGUUGAUGGGAAGUUCAAUUUUAGCCCCAUCAGUGUUAAAUUUCUAACAGAAGUUGCAAAAGUUAUCUUUACACUUGUCAUGCUUCUAAUACAAAAUAUAUGAUGCUAACUUGUUGGCUUGGUUAUUAGGAUAGAAAUCAGAAGAUUGGAGAGAAGCCACUUCUUUCUGUCUCCAGCUUUGUACAGGCAACUCGCAACAAUGUGCUUCUUGUUGUUCCAGCUUGCAACAAAGCAUUCCUCUAUGCUUUUAAUUACACUCUAAAUUCCUUUGCGUUUUUUGUUCAUAGAUUACAAACACCAAUUUCUUUCAAACAACAGAAGAUCUAGAGUUUAAUUGGGUGAUUGAAGGUGAUGGAUGUAAACUUGAUUCUGGAACUCUCAGUCUACCAACAUUAGAGUUUAAUUGGGUGAUUGAAGGUGAUUUUGGUUCUUGAAACGAGACUCAGGAUAUCAUAUUUUGGCAUGGCUAGAAGCUUUGGAGGAAACGAGACUCAAGCAAAAGUAAACACAGAGAGUUGUUGGCAUAUAGUAAGCUAGAUGAUGCAAUUGUAUAUAAAGGAGUUCAUUUUUUUAUAACAUUUACUCACUUUUGGAAUAAUUAUUUAUAUUUGACAUAUUAGUGAAAUGAAUUAUCUUUG